CACAAUCCUGAAUUCUCAUGCCAUGCUUUAAAAAAAUAUAAAAAAAGAAAGCAUUUUACAUGAACAGGAGGAUAUUAAGGAGAAUAUAAGACCUUUGUAAGGAAUUCUGCAACUCUUUAAAAUAUCUUCUGGAUAAAGUUAAGGAUCAUUUUUGUUAUUGACCAAAGAGGCGCACAGGGAAAAGUAGAUAAAACAGUGUCACUGAACUAUUAUCUUACACUAUGAUGUCUCUAGAGGUUACAAGAAGAAUGCAAGUGUUCCUUUUCCUUAUGUAUAAUCACCUUCCUUUAUGCCAAAUCCCUUCUUCAUUAUGAUUUGAUCUCUGCUAGAAUUGUGAUCUUUUCAGGUGAAAUACCAGAUUUGUGUUUUUUUUUUUUUUUUCUCUACUAUCCAGUUCUAGUGCCUGCUGGGUUAUUUUGAUAAGUUCAAAGUACUGGCAUCAAAUACCAGAGCAAAAAGUGAAGUGAAGGUCUUCUGCCUCCAGAAUAGAUGUGCUAGGAAGUAGUAAAAUUACUUAUCUCCUUACUUCAUUCAAAAUGGGAGUUCAGAAGAAUAUAAUUACUGUUCUCAUUCAGUCCAAAACAGAGACUACCCAGGUAUACCAAAUGCCUACUAGCAUGGUAGAUUUCUGUUCAUGAAUGCUCCUAUUCAGUUGCUUAAAUGCUUACAUCUGUGCCUAUAUUUUCAUAAUUGUACCCCUCGUAGCAUAGCUGAAACCUGCAACAUGCUUCUAUAUGCCAUGAAACCAUAAAAUAAUAGAUUAAAACAAACAAGCAGUGCUCCAGACCAUCUAAAACUGAGACACUGUUUUCUGCAUGUCAGUGGCCUAUUUUGUUCCUGUAAUUUCUAUUUAUCUCCUUAUGGCCUAAUAGCUGACAAGACCUACAAGUAGGAGACCAAUAUAUUACUUCUGUCCCAUAGAUGAGGGUGUUGACAAAGAAUGAAUCUAUUCCCUCCAUCUCCUGGAAGAUGGCUUUUACGCUAGCUGGUGUCUACAGUAAAGAGUGACAGAAUAUCAGAUGUUCUUUGCCAAGAUGGAGACUAGUAGUUUUAUUUGAAGCUAUUUGCAGACAAUUUCUAUCAGGCCAGUACAUUUGGAAUGACAAAUGUCCCAGUCUACCUGACCUUCAAGGCAUUUAGAAGGAUGCAGUAGUAGUUCUUGGAAUGUAGCAUGUAAGCAGUGGGAGAUUAGCAACAUAAGAGCGAGAAGUAAACACCUCUGAAGGGUCUCUGUUGUCUUAAAUGUUAAAGUUAACAGGGUAUUUUACAAGGAUCUGAGCAUAUAAAAGCAGUAAAGGACAGAUGUGUGAAAAAAUACUGGAUAAACUAAAGGAAAGUCUACCUCAUUCUUCUCUAAAGGUUUUGUAGAAGCACAAUUAAACACUCCUAACGGCAUUGUUACAUACAGACCAUCUGGCAUGAAAGAAACACUUUAUAUUUGUAUGUCUAUAAAUCCUGUAAUAACUGUAUUUUGCUGGCAGUAGAAACAGUCUAUACUAUUCGCAGUUUUCCUCAUCAAAUCUGUAAUUAUGCAAUGUUUCCGUCUCCAAUAAAGGAAUUUAAUGGGCACC
rnacentral:lncRNA from 7 species